rnacentral:rRNA from 1 species
CUGGAAUGAAAGGAUNUAUGGGGAUUUACUNUCUUAAAUAUAUACUAUUGAAUUUAUUAAAAANGNGAAAAUAUUUUAUUUUUAAAAAAGACGAGAAGACCCUAAGAAUUUUUAGAAUAUAUUAUAUUAUAAUUAUUUCUUUUUGUUGGGGCGACAAUUAAACAAUAAAACUUUAACUAUUUCUUUAAUCGGUUUUUUCAGUAAAAAAUAAAUUACCUUAGGGAUAACAGCAUAAUUUUCAAAA